rnacentral:lncRNA from 1 species
CCUAAAACACACACACAAAAAAAAACUCACCAUAGGUUGCCUGCCCUCGCAUCAUGUGUGAAAACAGACCAACGCGGAUCCUGACACAUUAAUCCAACAUACAUGGAGCUGAACAUGACUUAAGUAUUUCUCAUAUGAAUGAAAAUUAGCAAACCCGUUUACUCAAUUUUGUGGCCAAGUAAAUGGGGAUGUAGUUAGGGGGCUCGGUCGCUACUGAAUCCGAAAGGAGAGAGCACAAAAAAUAAAAUAAUAUUUAUACAAGUCUUUAAAUACU